GAUGAACGCUGGCGGCGUGCCUAAUACAUGCAAGCCGAGCGAACGGACGAGAAGCUUGCUUCUCUGAUGUUAGCGGCGGACGGGUGAGUAACACGUGGAUAACCUACCUAUAAGACUGGGAUAACUUCGGGAAACCGUAGCUAAUACCGGAUAAUAUUUUGAACCGCAUGGUUCAGAAGUGAAAGACGGUCUUGCUGUCACUUAUAGAUGGAUCCGCGCUGCAUUAGCUAGUUGGUAAGGUAACGGCUUACCAAGGCAACGAUGCAUAGCCGACCUGAGAGGGUGAUCGGCCACACUGGAACUGAGACACGGUCCAGACUCCUACGGGAGGCAGCAGUAGGGAAUCUUCCGCAAUGGGCGAAAGCCUGACGGAGCAACGCCGCGUGAGUGAUGAAGGUCUUCGGAUCGUAAAACUCUGUUAUUAGGGAAGAACAUAUGUGUAAGUAACUGUGCACAUCUUGACGGUACCUAAUCAGAAAGCCACGGCUAACUACGUG
rnacentral:rRNA from 1 species